CCUACGGGAGGCAGCAGUGGGGAAUUUUGGACAAUGGGCGCAAGCCUGAUCCAGCCAUGCCGCGUGAGUGAAGAAGGCCUUCGGGUUGUAAAGCUCUUUCGGCCGGAACGAAACGGCCGCCGCUAAUACCGGUGGUCACUGACGGUACCGGAAGAAGAAGCACCGGCUAACUACGUGCCAGCAGCCGCGGUAAUACGUAGGGUGCGAGCGUUAAUCGGAAUUACUGGGCGUAAAGCGUGCGCAGGCGGCUCUUUAAGUCAGAUGUGAAAGCCCCGGGCUCAACCUGGGAAUUGCGUUUGAAACUGGAGGGCUGGAGUGUGGCAGAGGGAGGUGGAAUUCCACGUGUAGCAGUGAAAUGCGUAGAGAUGUGGAGGAACACCGAUGGCGAAGGCAGCCUCCUGGGCCAACACUGACGUUCAUGCACGAAAGCGUGGGGAGCAAACAGGAUUAGAUACCCUGGUAGUCCACGCCCUAAACGAUA
rnacentral:rRNA from 1 species